CCUCCCCCUCCUUACUCCAGCUGCUCUGACUCGGUGAUGUGGUCUGGCAUUGACGGGGGAAACAGGAACCGCUCCACCACACGCUUCCACUGCGGUUAGCGUCGGUGCAGGACUAGUGGUGGAGCGAACACG